rnacentral:rRNA from 1 species
GGACCUGACUGCUAUCGGAUUGAUACUAAGCCAUGCGAGUCAUUGUAGCAAUACAAGGCAUACGGCUCAGUAACGCGUAGUCAACCUAACCUAUGGACGGGAAUAACCUCGGGAAACUGAGAAUAAUGCCCGAUAGAACAUUAUGCCUGGAAUGGUUUAUGUUCCAAAUGAUUUAUCGCCGUAGGAUGGGACUGCGGCCUAUCAGUUUGUUGGUGAGGUAAUGGCCCACCAAGACUAUUACAGGUACGGGCUCUGAGAGGAGUAGCCCGGAGAUGGGUACUGAGACACGGACCCAGGCCCUAUGGGGCGCAGCAGGCGAGAAAACUUUGCAAUGUGCGAAAGCACGACAAGGUUAAUCCGA